UGUGUAAUGUCAAAAUAUCCAGUUGGAAAGGGGAAAAAACGACGAUUCUCAAGAAGGCGGUUCGGGCAACACCAAGCUUCCAGCAGUGGGAAGAUCAAUGUCAAUUGGGUGGCAAGGCUCUACAGCAGGGAUUUCCACAACUGAAUUCAUAAGAAAGUCCCUUAGUAACUCUGAUAUGCAGCAGGAUUUUGGAACUGGAGCUACUGAAAACCUCGUUGAAGAUUAAUUAAUGCAAGAACCAGAGGAAUCAGGACAGUAUUGAAGCUUCUUCAAGCAAAACGUUUUAUUUCCAGCAGCAUGUGGAAAAACAUAUUGUAGAUGUCUGUAUAAAAUAUCUAAAACAGCCGUCAGAAAUUUGGGAUGUAAUGUUUUUAAUAAACCAUAGAGUGCCU
rnacentral:lncRNA from 1 species